rnacentral:lncRNA from 12 species
GAGAGGGGGAGAGGCAGAGAAAAAGAGAAAGGAAAGGAAAGGAAGGAAAGGAAAGGAAAGGAAAGGAAAGGAAAGGAAAGGAAAGGAAAGGAAAGGAAAGGAAAGGAAAAGAAAGGAAAGGGAAAGAAAAGAAAGGAAAGGAAACGAGAGGAGAGGAUAAUUUCUUUAGGGUUUAGAAGAUUUUAGAUCCUUUAUUAGGACCUUUAUGGAUUGUGUCCUCAUAAAAUUCUUGUCAGCCUGUUAUUAGCCUGUUUUUACACUCAAGGAAACAGUCUCAGAGGGCUUAUAUAACUUGUCAAGGUCAACACAGAGAGUAAAAAAGAAUCAAUGCCAGACUGUAAACCUAGAGUCUCUCCCAGGGAGUCUAAGAAAGUUACUGUUACAGAGCAAGGCCGGAUUGGUCCUGGAGAAUAGAUUACUUGUUCACAGUGAUAUUCAAAUUCCUGAGUCUUGGCACUGCUGUAGUAGGCAUUUGCAGACACAAAGCUGAGACAUCCUGAUGCCAUAGUGGAUACUACAUGGGAUUAUAUGGUUCUCUCAGGAGGCCAAACUUCUUCUGAAGCCCCUGAGGGGAAGAUGUAAUAGUUAAGGCUAGAGUGGGUACUUGGGAGUCUUCCUCUGGAGCCUGAGGAUGUUGGGGGCUAACACUGUCUCAUGUGCUGCUGAAGUUAUGAGAAGGAACAGGGACACCAGAAUCCGAGCAAGGGUGAGGGACUUUGUUGCCAACAAGACCAAUGCCUCAGAACCUGUGACUCAGUUUUGGCUGGAGGUAGGGGACCCAGGCCUGGAGGAGCCAAGCUGCAGUGAGACUUCAAGGCAGCCACACAGUCCACCGCCAGGGUUCAACUGCACCUCCUCAGCCUCAGCUGAGCACCAAGGUAGGACCUGGGCCAUGGGGACCGCAGGGAUCUUCUCUACGUUUCUCUCUCUCUCUCUCUUUUGUAUACUUUUUUAUUGGAGUUCAAUUUGCCAACAUAUAACACCCACUGCUUAUCCCAUCAAGUGCCCCCCUCAGUGCCCAUCACCAGUUCACCCAUUCCCCCACCACUGCUCCCCUUCCACUACCCUUGUUUCGUUUCCAGAGUUUAGGAGUCUCUCAUGUUCUGUCUCCCUCUCUAAUUUUUCCCACUCAUUUUCUCUCCUUUCCCCUUUAAUUCUUUUCACUAUUUUUUAUAUCUCCUGUAUGAGUGAAACCAUGUUUGUCCUCCGACUGACUUACUUCACUCAGCAUAAUACCCUCCAAUUCCAUCCAUGUCGAAGCAAAUGGUGGGUAUUCGUCGUUCCUGAUGGCUGAGUAAUAUUCCACUGUGUACAUAGACCACAGCUUCUUUAUCCAUUCAUCUGUUGGACACCAAGGCUCCUUCCACAGUUGGGCUAUUAUGGACAUUGCUGCGUGAACAUCAGGGUGCAGGGGUCCUGGCGUUUCACUGCAUCUGUAUCUUUGGGGUAAAUCCCCAGCAGUGCAAUUGCUGGGCCGUAGGGCAGUUCUAUGUUUAACUCUGAGGAACCUCCACACAGUUUUCCAGAGUGGCUGCACCAGUUCCCAUUCCCACCAACAGUGUAAGAGGGUUCCCCUUUCUCCACAUCCUCUCCAACAUUUGUGGUUUCCUGUCCUGUUAAUUUUCCCAUUCUCACUGGUGUGAAGUGGGAUCUCAUUGUGGUUUUGAUUUGUAUUUCCCUGAUGGCCAGUGAUGCGGAGCAUUUUCUCAUGUGCGUGUUGGCCACGUCUAUGUCUUCCUCUGUGAGAUUUCUGUUCAUGUCUUUUGCCCAUUUUAUGAUUGGAUUGUUUGUUUCUUGGGUGUUGAGUUUAAUAAGUUCUUUUUUUUUAAGAUUUCAUUUAUUUAUUCAUGAGAGACACAGAGAAAGAGAGGCAGAGACACAGGCAGAGGGAGAAGCAGGCUCCAUGCAGGGAGCCCGAUGUGGGACUUCAUCCC